rnacentral:rRNA from 1 species
GGAAUUUUCCGCAAUGGGCGCAAGCCUGACGGAGCAAUACCGCGUGAGGGAUGACGGCCUGUGGGUUGUAAACCUCUUUUCUCAGGAAAGAAGCUCUGACGGUACCUGAGGAAUAAGCAUCGGCUAACUCCGUGCCAGCAGCCGCGGUAAGACGGAGGAUGCAAGUGUUAUCCGGAAUCACUGGGCGUAAAGCGUCUGUAGGUGGUUUAAUAAGUCAACUGUUAAAUCUUGAAGCUCAACUUCAAAAUCGCAGUCGAAACUAUUAGACUAGAGUAUAGUAGGGGUAAAGGGAAUUUCCAGUGGAGCGGUGAAAUGCGUAGAGAUUGGAAAGAACACCGAUGGCGAAGGCACUUUACUGGGCUAUUACUAACACUCAGAGACGAAAGCUAGGGUAGCAAAUGGGAUUAGAUACCCCUGUAGUC